AGAGUUUGAUCCUGGCUCAGGACGAACGCUGGCGGCGUGCUUAACACAUGCAAGUCGAACGGUAAGGCCCCUUUUUUUGGGGUGUACGAGUGGCGAACGGGUGAGUAACACGUGAGUAACCUGCCCCAGACUUUGGGAUAACAGUUGGAAACGAUUGCUAAUACUGGAUAUGAGCUGCUGCCGCAUGGUGGUGGUUUGAAAGUUCCGGCGGUUUGGGAUGGGCUCGCGGCCUAUCAGCUUGUUGGUGAGGUGAUGGCUUACCAAGGCUUCGACGGGUAGCCGGCCUGAGAGGGCGACCGGCCACAUUGGGACUGAGAUACGGCCCAAACUCCUACGGGAGGCAGCAGUGGGGAAUAUUGCACAAUGGACGGAAGUCUGAUGCAGCAACGCCGCGUGCGGGAUGACGGCCUUCGGGUUGUAAACCGCUUUCAAUUGUGACGAAGCUUUUUUGUGACGGUAGCAGUAGAAGAAGCACCGGCUAACUACGUGCCAGCAGCCGCGGUGAUACGUAGGGUGCGAGCGUUGUCCGGAUUUAUUGGGCGUAAAGAGCUUGUAGGCGGUUUGUCGCGUCGGGAGUGAAAACUUGGGGCUUAACUCUGAGCUUGCUUUCGAUACGGGCUGACUUGAGGGAGGUAGGGGAGAAUGGAAUUCCUGGUGGAGCGGUGGAAUGCGCAGAUAUCAGGAGGAACACCGGUGGCGAAGGCGGUUCUCUGGACCUUUCCUGACGCUGAGAAGCGAAAGCGUGGGGAGCGAACAGGCUUAGAUACCCUGGUAGUCCACGCCGUAAACGGUGGGUACUAGGUGUGGGGGACAUUCCACGUUCUCCGUGCCGUAGCUAACGCAUUAAGUACCCCGCCUGGGGAGUACGGCCGCAAGGCUAAAACUCAAAGGAAUUGACGGGGCCCCGCACAAGCGGCGGAGCAUGCGGAUUAAUUCGAUGCAACGCGAAGAACCUUA
rnacentral:rRNA from 1 species